AUGCGAUGGGAGGGCUCAUCGGCGCUGUUGUGGAGCAGCCUGGAGUUGGUGCGCACCUCGGCGACGUCGCGAAGGGAGCGGACGACGACAUCGCCGGUGAACCGGUCGUGGAGGAGGGGCACAGGCGCGUCGAGGGAAUCCCGAAGCUGCUGGAGAUGGACGGCAAUGCGCGGUAGCACGUCGUCGAACGUGGAGGCGCUGAGGGGGGGGGCGCCGCGAGAGCAGAGGCCCACUCAGCAGCGAUGUCCCGCAUGGCGGGCGACUGACGGGUCACCCCAUGGGGGGCCUCUCCCACCGGAGCCGCCUGCUCCUGCAGAGAGGCCACGACCGGGAGGAUGCGGGGCAGCCGCCUUUCGACCUUGCGCUGGGCGUCGCGGAACGACACGAGCAGGGCCAGGCAGCUCAGAGGAAGCCGCUGCCGACCCCGUACGUCCAACCGAAGACGGCCAUGAAGUUUGCGUUCGCGCAGAGGCCGUCAAACUUCGUGUCGUCGGGCAGGGUGAGAUCCCCAUACCUCCGCCUGAUGCUGGGGAGCGCCUCCACGAGAGCGUCGCGUGCUCUCGACAGCUGAGCAGCGCGCGGCGAAUCUUCCGAAGCAAGCGCGCGGCGUCGGAGAGCGCUCCGCCCAGCGCCGCCGCCUCCCGGAUCUGCAGGAUGUUGAGCACCCUCCAGUCUUGGUGCGCGACGAGGCGGCUCACAUCCGCCAGCGCCCUUGGAGCGUCCCCGAGACGGUCGAUCCGCAUCAGGACGGCGUCCCGGCCAUGGCCGCCGUCCUCCGCCUCCUGCGCGACCUCCGCGCUGGUGGAGAGAAGGGACAGCAUCGCCUCCUCCCUUUCUCUCGAUCUCGAUCGAUCCCUCGUCUCUUUCUCUGGAUCGAUUGAUCGAUUCUUCCUCUCUCUGGAUCGAUGGAUUGAUUGUUCCUCUUUUCUCUGGAUCGAUUGA
rnacentral:rRNA from 1 species